CGUAUGGGAGCGAGCGUUGUCCGGGAAUUUAUUGGGGCGUAAAAGGGUACGCAGGCGGUUUUAAUAAGUCGAAUGUUAAAGAUCGGGGGCUCAACCCCGUAAAGCAUUGGAAACUGAUAAACUUGAGUAGUGGAGAGGAAAAGUGGAAUUCCUAGUGUAGUGGUGAAAUACGUAGAUAUUAGGAGGAAUACCAGUAGCGAAGGCGACUUUCUGGACACAAACUGACGCUGAGGUACGAAGGCGUGGGGAGCAAACAGGAUU
rnacentral:rRNA from 1 species